AUUGAACGCUGGCGGCAUGCCUUACACAUGCAAGUCGAACGGCAGCACGGGUGCUUGCACCUGGUGGCGAGUGGCGAACGGGUGAGUAAUAUAGUCGGAACGUACCUUAGUUGUGGGGGAUAACGCAGCGAAAGCUGUGCUAAUACCGCAUAAUCCCUUAGGGGGGAAAAGCGGGGGGACCGUAAGGCCUCGCGCAAUUAGAGCGGCCGAUACCUGAUUAGCUAGUUGGUGAGGUAAAGGCUCACCAAGGCAACGAUCAGUAGCUGGUCUGAGAGGACGAUCAGCCACACUGGGACUGAGACACGGCCCAGACUCCUACGGGAGGCAGCAGUGGGGAAUUUUGGACAAUGGGGGCAACCCUGAUCCAGCAAUGCCGCGUGAGUGAAGAAGGCCUUCGGGUUGUAAAGCUCUUUUGUCAGGGAAGAAACAGCAGCUCUAACACAGUCUGCGAAUGACGGUACCUGAAGAAUAAGCACCGGCUAACUACGUG
rnacentral:rRNA from 1 species